GACGAACGCUGGCGGCGUGCCUAAUACAUGCAAGUCGAGCGCAGGAAACUGACGGAACUCUUCGGAGGGAAGGCGGUGGAAUGAGCGGCGGACGGGUAAGUAACACGUAAGGAACCUGCCUCAAGGAUUGGGAUAACUCCGAGAAAUCGGAGCUAAUACCGGAUAGUUCAUCGGACCGCAUGGUCCGUUGAUGGAAGGCGCUUUCGCGGCACCUUGAGGUGGCCGGGGGGUGCAUUAGCUAGUUGGUGGGGUAACGGCCCACCAAGGCGACGAUGCAUAGCCGACCUGAGAGGGUGAUCGGCCACACUGGGACUGAGACACGGCCCAGACUCCUACGGGAGGCAGCAGUAGGGAAUCUUCCACAAUGGACGAAAGUCUGAUGGAGCAACGCCGCGUGAGUGAUGAAGGUUUUCGGAUCGUAAAACUCUGUUGUAAGGGAAGAACACGUACGAGAGGGAAUGCUCGUACCUUGACGGUACCUUACGAGAAAGCCACGGCUAACUACGUGCCAGCCGCCGCAGUAAGAC
rnacentral:rRNA from 1 species